UACCAGCACCCCGAGUGGUCGGGACGAUUAUUGGGCCUAAAGCAUCCGUAGCUGGUUCUACAAGUCUUCCGUUAAAUCCACCUGCUUAACAGAUGGGCUGCGGAGGAUACUAUAGAGCUAGGAGGCGGGAGAGGCAAGCGGUACUUAGUGGGUAGGGGUAAAAUCCGUUGAUCCAUUGAAGACCACCAGUGGCGAAGGCGGCUUGCCAGAACGCACUCGA
rnacentral:rRNA from 1 species